GAUGAACGCUGGCGGCGUGCCUAAUACAUGCAAGUCGAGCGGACCAAAGAGAGCUUGCUCUCUGAGGUUAGCGGCGGACGGGUGAGUAACACGUGGGUAACCUGCCUGUAGGACGGGGAUAACUUCGGGAAACCGAAGCUAAUACCGGAUGAUAAAGAGAAACGCCUGUUUCUUUUUUGAAAGUCGGCCUUGUGCUGACUCUUACAGAUGGGCCCGCGGCGCAUUAGCUAGUUGGUGAGGUAACGGAUCACCAAGGCGACGAUGCGUAGCGCGACCUGAGAGGGUGAUCGGCCACACUGGGACGGAGACACGGCCCAGACUCCUACGGGAGGCAGCAGUAGGGAAUCUUCGGCAAUGGACGAAAGUCUGACCGAGCAACGCCGCGUGAGCGAUGAAGGCCUUCGGGUCGUAAAGCUCUGUUGUCAGAGAAGAACAAGUACCGGAGUAACUGCCGGUACCUUGACGGUACCUAACCAGAAAGCCACGGCUAACUACGUGCCAGCAGCCGCCGCGGUAA
rnacentral:rRNA from 1 species